AGUCCUUCGCCGUCCCUCGCCGUCCUUCGCCAUCGCACGCCACCGCACCCCAUCUCUCGAAAUCUGCAGACAUCUUGAUUUUUCCCACGCUGUCUGUCAGGUCUCCGCCGCCACUCGACGCCAGGGCGCCGGGCCUUGUGGGCUGUGCUGCACCUCGGACGGCUUCGCACCAGCCAGCGCCCUCUCUCUCCUGCAGCACUCUGAUCUGCACCCCCUGAGGGGCUUCCACUGUCCGCGGGGUGAGAAUGCCCCUGGGAGUGUCACAUGACUGCCGCCCCAUGUGUGUGAGAGGCGUCCUCUGGGAGAGCAUGGAUCCUGAGGUCCCAGGAACAUCCCGAGAGCCAAGUUCCCAGAUGCCAGCCAAGGGCCAUCUGACCUGUUUUGAAUCUCAAUUUCCUGAUACAGAAAACAAAGGAUUGUCAGCUGACCUCUGUCCUGUGUGCCCAGUGGCCCCAGGUGACGUGUCUUCAAGAAGAGGCUGAGCUGCGGUGCUUGUAAGGCAGGGUCUCAUUCUGUCACCCAGGCUGGAGUGCAGUGGUGCAAUGAUGGCUCACUGCAGCCUCGACCUGGGCUCAAGUGAUCCUCCACCUCAGCUUCCUGAGUAGCUGGGACCACAGAGUCAUGUGCUGUUCCUGGGGCUUGGAUGAUGUAGGGGAAGCAAGGUGAAAGUGGUAUCCCGUGGUUCCACGUUCUGUCCUGCUGUGGGGCUGUCCCUCACAUGCUUUCAGUGGCUGUUGCAGAGGAAGAGCCUCCGGAAAUCUGCGUGGGUAAAGUCUCAGCCUUAGAUCCAAGGACAGUCCAAGGAAGUCCUAAGACCAUGGAGUUGGUGAUCUGGGAUCUGGGUUUGCUGAUAUUUCUCACCGUGAAUCUCUUGGUGGUGUUUGUGGGCACGAGAGGGGCAGAGAAUGGAGAGUGAGGCUACCACAUGAAGCGUCACCAGAGCUGCUCCCUGCUGCCUGCUCAGAGCACCCCGGAUCCACUGUUCAAUCUGCACAAGAUUCGGGGUCCAGACAUGGGAGACUUCAGCUGCCUCAGAGGACCGUGGACAGGGAAGGCCAGCCUCGCAUCCCUCUGUCCAUGCCUGGAAUGACUUUAAUAACCAAGAGUUUUAUUUUUGAAUUUGUAGCUGUCGUUCACUUUUUACCCACCCAUUCAAUAAACCUUACAGAAUUGCUCCA
rnacentral:lncRNA from 1 species